AUUUGGUGAAAAACACUCUCGCUCUCUAACUUUUGGUAACAGAAGAGAAGAAGAAGAAGAAGUUGAAGAUACUGAUGUAUGUGGUUCAGCCAAUGGAGCCUACAACCACGGGAAGGGAAGUAAUUUUAUUGAAGGCUCAAAGAAGAUAAAGAAACCUAAUCCAAUAAUGAAAAUGAGGUCAGUGAAAUGAAUGAUGGAAGGAAGACCACGUUAACAAGCUGAAUGUCAAACAUGUGGGUGGAAACUCUUCCACUUUUCUGUCGAGUAGGUAAGAUAAUCAGCUGAGAAAAUUAAUUUGGUGAAAAAUACUCUCUCUAUAACUUUUUUUCUCUCAACUCUACCUUAAUCUCUCUUUGUGUCCAUGGCGAUUUGCAAGAAAACAUGAUGAUUUCUAGCAUGUAGAUAACAAAAGAGAAGGAGAAGAAGAAGCUGAAGACACUGAUGUAUGUGGUUUAGCCAAUGGAACCUACAUCCAUGGGAAGGGAAAUAAUUUUAUUGAAGGCUGUUUACAAGAAGAUAAGAUCUCUUUCAUUUGAUUUCUCUUUUCAAUACAUGUAAUUUUUGAAAUAGAUCUAUAUUUAUAGCAAGUAGAUUUUAGUUAAAUGUUUGUUAAAGACUGUUUGUAAAGAGAUAAACUAGCCAUUGACAUUAUUUUUGCUUCAAAGAAUAAGAAAAUUAGCUUGGUUUUUUUUUUGUCUUUUCUUUUCUUUUUUUUUUAUAAAAAAAAAUCA